GAAGCCGAAUCUCUGGGCAUUACCUGACGCUCAUGCACGAAGGCCAGGGGAGCAAACGGGAUUAGAUACCCCGGUAGUCCUGGCAGUAAACGGUGCACGUUUGGUGUGGGAGGAUUCGACCCCUUCCGUGCCGGAGCUAACGCGUUAAACGUGCCGCCUGGGAAGUACGGUCGCAAGAUUAAAACUCAAAGAAAUUGACGGGGGCCCGCACAAGCGGUGGAGUAUGUGGCUUAAUUCGAUGCAACGCGAAGAACCUUACCUGGCCUUGACAUGCAUCUCUAAACCGGUGAAAGCCGGCGAGUGUAGCAAUACACAAUUUGCACAGGUGCUGCAUGGCUGUCGUCAGCUCGUGUCGUGAGAUGUUGGAUUAAGUCCCGCAACGAGCGCAACCCCUGUGAUCUGUUGCCACCGGCGCAAGCCGAGCACUCUGAUCAGACUGCCCUGUGAAACGGGGAGGAAGGUGGGGACGACGUCAAGUCAGUAUGGCCCUUACGGCCAGGGCUGCACACGUACUACAAUGCCCAGGACAGAAGGAACCGAAACCGCGAGGUGGAGGAAAUCACCAAACCUGGGCCCAGUUCGGAUUGAAGGCUGCAACUCGCCUUCAUGAAGUUGGAAUCGCUAGUAAUGCCGUAUCAGCUACGACGGCGUGAAUACGUUCCCGGG
rnacentral:rRNA from 1 species